rnacentral:rRNA from 1 species
UCGGGAAUUUUGGGCAAUGGGCGAAAGCCUGAUCCAGCCAUGCCGCGUGUGUGAAGAAGGUCUUCGGAUUGUAAAGCACUUUAAGUUGGGAGGAAGGGCAGUUACCUAAUACGUGAUUGUUUUGACGUUACCGACAGAAUAAGCACCGGCUAACUCUGUGCCAGCAGCCGCGGUAAUACAGAGGGUGCAAGCGUUAAUCGGAAUUACUGGGCGUAAAGCGCGCGUAGGUGGUUAGUUAAGUUGGAUGUGAAAUCCCCGGGCUCAACCUGGGAACUGCAUUCAAAACUGACAAGCUAGAGUAUGGUAGAGGGUGGUGGAAUUUCCUGUGUAGCGGUGAAAUGCGUAGAUAUAGGAAGGAACACCAGUGGCGAAGGCGACCACCUGGACUGAUACUGACACUGAGGUGCGAAAGCGUGGGGAGCAAACAGGAUUAGAUACCCCAGUAGUCCCUGAGCGGGCUGGCAAGGCGCAU